rnacentral:rRNA from 1 species
CACGUAGGGCGCAAGCGUUGUCCGGAAUUAUUGGGCGUAAAGAGCUCGUAGGCGGACUGUCACGUCUGCUGUGAAAAGCUGGGGCUUAACCCUGGCCUUGCAGUGGAUACGGGCAGACUAGAGGUAGGUAGGGGAGAAUGGAAUUCCUGGUGUAGCGGUGAAAUGCGCAGAUAUCAGGAGGAACACCGAUGGCGAAGGCAGGUCUCUGGGCAUUAACUGACGCUGAGGAGCGAAAGCAUGGGGAGCGAACAGG